GUUUUCAUAGUUGAAUUACAACUACAGUUUUUCGGGCUGUGAGUCUGGGUUAAUACCCCAGUGAAAAUA
rnacentral:tRNA from 1 species